rnacentral:ncRNA from 1 species
CUAAACACUAUAGUAAGGACAGUAACUUAACACUAAUUCGAAAGAGAGUUGGGGACGGUGGAAGCCCAAUGAUGUGUGUUGUGUGAAAAUCACCUUACUGUGGCAAUUCCGAAAUUUAUAGUAGGUUUUGACGCUGCCUGCGUUAAAGGCUUUGAGAGGGAGUAUAUAUACUCCAAUUCAGGUGGUACCACGCUAUGGCGUCCUGUUG